UACGUAGGGUGCAAGCGUUACUCGGAAUUACUGGGCGUAAAGCGUGCGCAGGCGGUUUUGUAAGCCAGAUGUGAAAUCCCCGGGCUUAACCUGGGAAUGGCAUUUGGGACUGCAAGGCUUGAGUGCGGCAGAGGAGACUGGAAUUCCUGGUGUAGCAGUGAAAUGCGUAGAUAUCAGGAGGAACACCGAUGGCGAAGGCAGGUCUCUGGGCUGACAAUGACGCUCAUGCACGAAAGCGUGGGGAGCAAACAGG
rnacentral:rRNA from 1 species